CUGAGCGAUUGAUUGAUUGGUUGAUUGACUGAUGAAGGAUUAAUCAUUUACAACAAGAUCUACUCAGGGGACCCUUAGAUUAAAAUAAUAACAACAACAACAACAACAACAACAACAGCAAACCUCAAAUGGAAAACUCUCAGGAAAUAUUCCGUUAGAAGUGUUUUAUAAGCUCGAGCAGCGCAGUCAGCCAAAUAAUUGCUAGCACCAAUUCACACACACAAACGCACACAUAUAUGCCAACAAAGAAACACCAACACAUGUAUGCAGAGUGACAGAGGGAGAGUUAAAUAAUAAUUAAGUG